rnacentral:rRNA from 1 species
ACACAUGCAAGUCGAACGAAGCUUGACGGAUGAUUUCUUCGGAAUGAAACCAGAUAUGACUUAGUGGCGGACGGGUGAGUAACACGUGAGCAACCUGCCUUUCAGAGGGGGAUAACGGCUGGAAACGGUCGCUAAUACCGCAUGAUGUGUUCGGAUGGCAUCAUCUGGACAUCAAAGAUUUAUCGCUGAAAGAUGGGCUCGCGUCUGAUUAGAUAGUUGGUGGGGUAACGGCCUACCAAGUCUACGAUCAGUAGCCGGACUGAGAGGUUGAACGGCCACAUUGGGACUGAGAUACGGCCCAGACUCCUACGGGAGGCAGCAGUGGGGAAUAUUGCACAAUGGGGGAAACCCUGAUGCAGCAACGCCGCGUGAAGGAUGACGGUUUUCGGAUUGUAAACUUCUUUUCUUAGUGACGAAGACAGUGACGGUAGCUAAGGAAUAAGCAUCGGCUAACUACGUGCCAGCAGCCGCGGUAAUACGUAGGAUGCAAGCGUUAUCCGGAUUUACUGGGUGUAAAGGGAGCGCAGGCGGGACUGCAAGUUGGAUGUGAAAUACCGUGGCUUAACCACGGAACUGCAUCCAAAACUGUAGUUCUUGAGUGAAGUAGAGGCAAGCGGAAUUCCGAGUGUAGCGGUGAAAUGCGUAGAUAUUCGGAGGAACACCAGUGGCGAAGGCGGCUUGCUGGGCUUUAACUGACGCUGAGGCUCGAAAGUGUGGGGAGCAAACAGGAUUAGAUACCCUGGUAGUCCACACUGUAAACGAUGAUAGCUAGGUGUGGGGGGUCUGACCCCUUCCGUGCCGGA